GGUUAAGCGACUAAGCGUACACGGUGGAUGCCCUGGCAGUCAGAGGCGAUGAAGGACGUGCUAAUCUGCGAUAAGCGUCGGUAAGGUGAUAUGAACCGUUAUAACCGGCGAUUUCCGAAUGGGGAAACCCAGUGUGUUUCGACACACUAUCAUUAACUGAAUCCAUAGGUUAAUGAGGCGAACCGGGGGAACUGAAACAUCUAAGUACCCCGAGGAAAAGAAAUCAACCGAGAUUCCCCCAGUAGCGGCGAGCGAACGGGGAGCAGCCCAGAGCCUGAAUCAGUGUGUGUGUUAGUGGAAGCGUCUGGAAAGGCGCGCGAUACAGGGUGACAGCCCCGUACACAAAAAUGCACAUACUGUGAGCUCGAUGAGUAGGGCGGGACACGUGGUAUCCUGUCUGAAUAUGGGGGGACCAUCCUCCAAGGCUAAAUACUCCUGACUGACCGAUAGUGAACCAGUACCGUGAGGGAAAGGCGAAAAGAACCCCGGCGAGGGGAGUGAAAAAGAACCUGAAACCGUGUACGUACAAGCAGUGGGAGCACGCUUAGGCGUGUGACUGCGUACCUUUUGUAUAAUGGGUCAGCGACUUAUAUUCUGUAGCAAGGUUAACCGAAUAGGGGAGCCGAAGGGAAACCGAGUCUUAACUGGGCGUUAAGUUGCAGGGUAUAGACCCGAAACCCGGUGAUCUAGCCAUGGGCAGGUUGAAGGUUGGGUAACACUAACUGGAGGACCGAACCGACUAAUGUUGAAAAAUUAGCGGAUGACUUGUGGCUGGGGGUGAAAGGCCAAUCAAACCGGGAGAUAGCUGGUUCUCCCCGAAAGCUAUUUAGGUAGCGCCUCGUGAAUUCAUCUCCGGGGGUAGAGCACUGUUUCGGCAAGGGGGUCAUCCCGACUUACCAACCCGAUGCAAACUGCGAAUACCGGAGAAUGUUAUCACGGGAGACACACGGCGGGUGCUAACGUCCGUCGUGAAGAGGGAAACAACCCAGACCGCCAGCUAAGGUCCCAAAGUCAUGGUUAAGUGGGAAACGAUGUGGGAAGGCCCAGACAGCCAGGAUGUUGGCUUAGAAGCAGCCAUCAUUUAAAGAAAGCGUAAUAGCUCACUGGUCGAGUCGGCCUGCGCGGAAGAUGUAACGGGGCUAAACCAUGCACCGAAGCUGCGGCAGCGACGCUUAUGCGUUGUUGGGUAGGGGAGCGUUCUGUAAGCCUGUGAAGGUGUGCUGUGAGGCAUGCUGGAGGUAUCAGAAGUGCGAAUGCUGACAUAAGUAACGAUAAAGCGGGUGAAAAGCCCGCUCGCCGGAAGACCAAGGGUUCCUGUCCAACGUUAAUCGGGGCAGGGUGAGUCGACCCCUAAGGCGAGGCCGAAAGGCGUAGUCGAUGGGAAACAGGUUAAUAUUCCUGUACUUGGUGUUACUGCGAAGGGGGACGGAGAAGGCUAUGUUGGCCGGGCGACGGUUGUCCCGGUUUAAGCGUGUAGGCUGGUUUUCCAGGCAAAUCCGGAAAAUCAAGGCUGAGGCGUGAUGACGAGGCACUACGGUGCUGAAGCAACAAAUGCCCUGCUUCCAGGAAAAGCCUCUAAGCAUCAGGUAACAUCAAAUCGUACCCCAAACCGACACAGGUGGUCAGGUAGAGAAUACCAAGGCGCUUGAGAGAACUCGGGUGAAGGAACUAGGCAAAAUGGUGCCGUAACUUCGGGAGAAGGCACGCUGAUAUGUAGGUGAAGUCCCUCGCGGAUGGAGCUGAAAUCAGUCGAAGAUACCAGCUGGCUGCAACUGUUUAUUAAAAACACAGCACUGUGCAAACACGAAAGUGGACGUAUACGGUGUGACGCCUGCCCGGUGCCGGAAGGUUAAUUGAUGGGGUCAGCGCAAGCGAAGCUCUUGAUCGAAGCCCCGGUAAACGGCGGCCGUAACUAUAACGGUCCUAAGGUAGCGAAAUUCCUUGUCGGGUAAGUUCCGACCUGCACGAAUGGCGUAAUGAUGGCCAGGCUGUCUCCACCCGAGACUCAGUGAAAUUGAACUCGCUGUGAAGAUGCAGUGUACCCGCGGCAAGACGGAAAGACCCCGUGAACCUUUACUAUAGCUUGACACUGAACAUUGAGCCUUGAUGUGUAGGAUAGGUGGGAGGCUUAGAAGUGUGGACGCCAGUCUGCAUGGAGCCGACCUUGAAAUACCACCCUUUAAUGUUUGAUGUUCUAACGUUGACCCGUAAUCCGGGUUGCGGACAGUGUCUGGUGGGUAGUUUGACUGGGGCGGUCUCCUCCUAAAGAGUAACGGAGGAGCACGAAGGUUGGCUAAUCCUGGUCGGACAUCAGGAGGUUAGUGCAAUGGCAUAAGCCAGCUUGACUGCGAGCGUGACGGCGCGAGCAGGUGCGAAAGCAGGUCAUAGUGAUCCGGUGGUUCUGAAUGGAAGGGCCAUCGCUCAACGGAUAAAAGGUACUCCGGGGAUAACAGGCUGAUACCGCCCAAGAGUUCAUAUCGACGGCGGUGUUUGGCACCUCGAUGUCGGCUCAUCACAUCCUGGGGCUGAAGUAGGUCCCAAGGGUAUGGCUGUUCGCCAUUUAAAGUGGUACGCGAGCUGGGUUUAGAACGUCGUGAGACAGUUCGGUCCCUAUCUGCCGUGGGCGCUGGAGAACUGAGGGGGGCUGCUCCUAGUACGAGAGGACCGGAGUGGACGCAUCACUGGUGUUCGGGUUGUCAUGCCAAUGGCACUGCCCGGUAGCUAAAUGCGGAAGAGAUAAGUGCUGAAAGCAUCUAAGCACGAAACUUGCCCCGAGAUGAGUUCUCCCUGACUCCUUGAGAGUCCUGAAGGAACGUUGAAGACGACGACGUUGAUAGGCCGGGUGUGUAAGCGCAGCGAUGCGUUGAGCUAACCGGUACUAAUGAACCGUGAGGCUUAACCUU
rnacentral:rRNA from 1 species